CCAAGAACCGCAUGGUUCUUGGCUGAAAGAUGGCGUAAGCUAUCGCUUUUGGAUGGACCCGCGGCGUAUUAGCUAGUUGGUGAGGUAAUGGCUCACCAAGGCGAUGAUACGUAGCCGAACUGAGAGGUUGAUCGGCCACAUUGGGACUGAGACACGGCCCAAACUCUACGGGAGGCAGCAGUAGGGAAUCUUCCACAAUGGACGCAAGUCUGAUGGAGCAACGCCGCGUGAGUGAAGAAGGCUUUCGGGUCGUAAAACUCUGUUGUUGGAGAAGAAUGGUCGGCAGAGUAACUGUUGUCGGCGUGACGGUAUCCAACCAGAAAGCCACGGCUAACUACGUGCCAGCAGCCGCGGUAAUACGUAGGUGGCAAGCGUUAUCCGGAUUUAUUGGGCGUAAAGCGAGCGCAGGCGGUUUUUUAAGUCUGAUGUGAAAGCCCUCGGCUUAACCGAGGAAGCGCAUCGGAAACUGGGAAACUUGAGUGCAGAAGAGGACAGUGGAACUCCAUGUGUAGCGGUGAAAUGCGUAGAUAUAUGGAAGAACACCAGUGGCGAAGGCGGCUGUCUGGUCUGUAACUGACGCUGAGGCUCGAAAGCAUGGGUAGCGAACAGGAUUAGAUACCCUGGUAGUCCAUGCCGUAAACGAUGAAUGCUAGGUGUUGGAGGGUUUCCGCCCUUCAGUGCCGCAGCUAACGCAUUAAGCAUUCCGCCUGGGGAGUACGACCGCAAGGUUGAAACUCAAAGGAAUUGACGGGGGCCCGCACAAGCGGUGGAGCAUGUGGUUUAAUUCGAAGCAACGCGAAGAACCUUACCAGGUCUUGACAUCUUUUGAUCACCUGAGAGAUCAGGUUUCCCCUUCGGGGGCAAAAUGACAGGUGGUGCAUGGUUGUCGUCAGCUCGUGUCGUGAGAUGUUGGGUUAAGUCCCGCAACGAGCGCAACCCUUAUGACUAGUUGCCAGCAUUUAGUUGGGCACUCUAGUAAGACUGCCGGUGACAAACCGGAGGAAGGUGGGGAUGACGUCAAAUCAUCAUGCCCCUUAUGACCUGGGCUACACACGUGCUACAAUGGAUGGUACAACGAGUUGCGAGACCGCGAGGUCAAGCUAAUCUCUUAAAGCCAUUCUCAGUUCGGACUGUAGGCUGCAACUCGCCUACACGAAGUCGGAAUCGCUAGUAAUCGCGGAUCAGCACGCCGCGGUGAAUACGUUCCCGGGCCUUGUACACACCGCCCGUCACACCAUGAGAGUUUGUAACACCCGAAGCCGG
rnacentral:rRNA from 2 species